UUCUCGAGCAGCUUGGCGUAAUCAUGGUCAUAGCUGUUUCCUGUGUGAAAUUGUUAUCCGCUCACAAUUCCACACAACAUACGAGCCGGAAGCAUAAAGUGUAAAGCCUGGGGUGCCUAAUGAGUGAGCUAACUCACAUUAAUUGCGUUGCGCUCACUGCCCGCUUUCCAGUCGGGAAACCUGUCGUGCCAGCUGCAUUAAUGAAUCGGCCAACGCGCGGGGAGAGGCGGUUUGCGUAUUGGGCGCUCUUCCGCUUCCUCGCUCACUGACUCGCUGCGCUCGGUCGUUCGGCUGCGGCGAGCGGUAUCAGCUCACUCAAAGGCGGUAAUACGGUUAUCCACAGAAUCAGGGGAUAACGCAGGAAAGAACAUGUGAGCAAAAGGCCAGCAAAAGGCCAGGAACCGUAAAAAGGCCGCGUUGCUGGCGUUUUUCCAUAGGCUCCGCCCCCCUGACGAGCAUCACAAAAAUCGACGCUCAAGUCAGAGGUGGCGAAACCCGACAGGACUAUAAAGAUACCAGGCGUUUCCCCCUGGAAGCUCCCUCGUGCGCUCUCCUGUUCCGACCCUGCCGCUUACCGGAUACCUGUCCGCCUUUCUCCCUUCGGGAAGCGUGGCGCUUUCUCAAUGCUCACGCUGUAGGUAUCUCAGUUCGGUGUAGGUCGUUCGCUCCAAGCUGGGCUGUGUGCACGAACCCCCCGUUCAGCCCGACCGCUGCGCCUUAUCCGGUAACUAUCGUCUUGAGUCCAACCCGGUAAGACACGACUUAUCGCCACUGGCAGCAGCCACUGGUAACAGGAUUAGCAGAGCGAGGUAUGUAGGCGGUGCUACAGAGUUCUUGAAGUGGUGGCCUAACUACGGCUACACUAGAAGGACAGUAUUUGGUAUCUGCGCUCUGCUGAAGCCAGUUACCUUCGGAAAAAGAGUUGGUAGCUCUUGAUCCGGCAAACAAACCACCGCUGGUAGCGGUGGUUUUUUUGUUUGCAAGCAGCAGAUUACGCGCAGAAAAAAAGGAUCUCAAGAAGAUCCUUUGAUCUUUUCUACGGGGUCUGACGCUCAGUGGAACGAAAACUCACGUUAAGGGAUUUUGGUCAUGAGAUUAUCAAAAAGGAUCUUCACCUAGAUCCUUUUAAAUUAAAAAUGAAGUUUUAAAUCAAUCUAAAGUAUAUAUGAGUAAACUUGGUCUGACAGUUACCAAUGCUUAAUCAGUGAGGCACCUAUCUCAGCGAUCUGUCUAUUUCGUUCAUCCAUAGUUGCCUGACUCCCCGUCGUGUAGAUAACUACGAUACGGGAGGGCUUACCAUCUGGCCCCAGUGCUGCAAUGAUACCGCGAGACCCACGCUCACCGGCUCCAGAUUUAUCAGCAAUAAACCAGCCAGCCGGAAGGGCCGAGCGCAGAAGUGGUCCUGCAACUUUAUCCGCCUCCAUCCAGUCUAUUAAUUGUUGCCGGGAAGCUAGAGUAAGUAGUUCGCCAGUUAAUAGUUUGCGCAACGUUGUUGCCAUUGCUGCUGGCAUCGUGGUGUCACGCUCGUCGUUUGGUAUGGCUUCAUUCAGCUCCGGUUCCCAACGAUCAAGGCGAGUUACAUGAUCCCCCAUGUUGUGCAAAAAAGCGGUUAGCUCCUUCGGUCCUCCGAUCGUUGUCAGAAGUAAGUUGGCCGCAGUGUUAUCACUCAUGGUUAUGGCAGCACUGCAUAAUUCUCUUACUGUCAUGCCAUCCGUAAGAUGCUUUUCUGUGACUGGUGAGUACUCAACCAAGUCAUUCUGAGAAUAGUGUAUGCGGCGACCGAGUUGCUCUUGCCCGGCGUCAAUACGGGAUAAUACCGCGCCACAUAGCAGAACUUUAAAAGUGCUCAUCAUUGGAAAACGUUCUUCGGGGCGAAAACUCUCAAGGAUCUUACCGCUGUUGAGAUCCAGUUCGAUGUAACCCACUCGUGCACCCAACUGAUCUUCAGCAUCUUUUACUUUCACCAGCGUUUCUGGGUGAGCAAAAACAGGAAGGCAAAAUGCCGCAAAAAAGGGAAUAAGGGCGACACGGAAAUGUUGAAUACUCAUACUCUUCCUUUUUCAAUAUUAUUGAAGCAUUUAUCAGGGUUAUUGUCUCAUGAGCGGAUACAUAUUUGAAUGUAUUUAGAAAAAUAAACAAAUAGGGGUUCCGCGCACAUUUCCCCGAAAAGUGCCACCUGACGUCUAAGAAACCAUUAUUAUCAUGACAUUAACCUAUAAAAAUAGGCGUAUCACGAGGCCCUUUCGUCUUCAAG
rnacentral:misc_RNA from 1 species